UAUCUAUGGCCGGAACGUCUGGUAGCAUCUCUGGCUGCUGUUGACCUGGUUUUUGGAGUAAAACACGGUGGAAGCUGAAUUAGUGAGGAUGACUCCUGCUCCUGUCAUCUCUAAGCUCCUCACACAUCUUUACCUGCACAUGAGGAAAAUCACUCCUGUAGAAUGCAGUGGUUCAUCAGAACCUCUGGGGAUGUCCUGUGGAUUCUGUGGAUCCUGUGGGUUGCAGGGUGGGUCCUACCUAGACCAGGCUGAUCCUGGACCAUCCCACAGAUGCUCCAUCAGAUCUGGAUGUGGGGAGUGUGGAACCCAGGUGAACAGCUUAGCUCUGUCGUGUUCCUCGGACCACUCCUGAGCAGUUUUAGUUUGUCCUGCUGAGGGAGGCAGCUGGCAUCAAGGACUGCUGUUGCCAUGGAGACUAGGGGGUUGUUUGUCCUGCAGUGUUUAGGUGGUGGUACAUGUCAAACAUCCACAUGAAUGUCAAGGUUUCCCAGCAGAACGUUGCAUUAGAACAAGAUGAUGG
ensembl:lncRNA